rnacentral:tRNA from 1 species
AAAAAGAAGGAGAAUGUACCCCAAAUCAAAGUUAGCAGCUUCAAUUUAAAUUCUUUU